AACGAACGCUGGCGGCAUGCCUAACACACGCAAGUCGAACGAAGGCUUCGGCCUUAGUGGCGCACGGGUGCGUAACGCGUGGGAAUCUGCCCCUUGCUUCGGAAUAACAGUUAGAAAUGACUGCUAAUACCGGAUGAUGUCGAAAGACCAAAGAUUUAUCGGCAAGGGAUGAGCCCGCGUAGGAUUAGGUAGUUGGUGGGGUAAAGGCCUACCAAGCCGACGAUCCUUAGCUGGUCUGAGAGGAUGAUCAGCCACACUGGGACUGAGACACGGCCCAGACUCCUACGGGAGGCAGCAGUGGGGAAUAUUGGACAAUGGGGGCAACCCUGAUCCAGCAAUGCCGCGUGAGUGAUGAAGGCCUUAGGGUUGUAAAGCUCUUUUACCCGGGAUGAUAAUGACAGUACCGGGAGAAUAAGCUCCGGCUAACUCCGUGCCAGCCGCCGCUGUAA
rnacentral:rRNA from 1 species